CCUACGGGAGGCAGCAGUAGGGAAUCUUCGGCAAUGGACGAAAGUCUGACCGAGCAACGCCGCGUGAGUGAAGAAGGUUUUCGGAUCGUAAAACUCUGUUGGUAGAGAAGAACGUUGGUGAGAGUGGAAAGCUCAUCAAGUGACGGUAACUACCCAGAAAGGGACGGCUAACUACGUGCCAGCAGCCGCGGUAAUA
rnacentral:rRNA from 1 species